rnacentral:rRNA from 1 species
UACGUAGGCAGCAAGCGUUGUUCGGAGUUACUGGGCGUAAAGGGUGUGUAGGCGGUUGUUUAAGUUUGGUGUGAAAUCUCCCGGCUCAACUGGGAGGGUGCGCCGAAUACUGAAUGACUCGAGUACGGGAGAGGAAAGUGGAAUUCCUGGUGUAGCGGUGAAAUGCGUAGAUAUCAGGAGGAACACCGGUGGUGUAGACGGCUUUCUGGACCGUAACUGACGCUGAGACACGAAAGCGUGGGUAGCAAACAG